rnacentral:tRNA from 1 species
GGGGUUCCAGCCCAGUGGUUAGGGCGUCAGACUCACGACUUGAAGGUCGGGGGUUCGAUUCCCGAUCCCA